GCCCCGGGUUGAAACUGAUUUCGGAAAAUCGCCGCUGCGGCCGGCUGUGGAGAAAUUCUGAAAAUUUGCAUUUCGCCGUGUUGACAGGACGAAUGCAGGCGGUCAUAUACCC
rnacentral:sRNA from 1 species